rnacentral:sRNA from 1 species
UCUUCAAACUCUUCAUACUCUCCGUCCUCUGUAAUCUUCUCUUGA